UACGAAGGGGGCGAGCGUUGUUCGGAAUUACUGGGCGUAAAGGGCGCGUAGGCGGUCCUUCAAGUCAGGCGUGAAGCCCGGCUCAACCUGGAACCGCGCUUGAGACUGGCGGACUCGAGUUCGGGAGAGGAUGGUGGAAUUCCCAGUGUAGAGGUGAAAUGCGCAGAUAUCAGGAGGAACACCGGUGGCGAAGGCGGGUCUCUGGGCCGAUACUGACGCUGAGGAGCGAAAGCGUGGGGGAGCGAACAGG
rnacentral:rRNA from 1 species